CACGUGUAAGUGCGUGCCAGUGUAAAGGGUGCUUGUGCAUAUGUCAAUGUCUGUGCAUGCCCUCUGGGGGACACCCAGGGCAUUGGCGACCUCUGAACAGCACCUGCAGUUCCCUCCCUCAUUAAUGUGGGGCCAUUUAAUGAGGCCUCACCCCAGCUAAGGUGAGUGCAUGCAGCCUGGGGACGACUGGAGGCAGGGGCGCAGGGGAGGGGGGCACCAAGAACUACCGUGGGGCCCUUACCAGCCUCUUCCCGGACCAGUAGGCACAAAACUUGCCUUGGAAACUUUCAGACUCUGGAUUAGAAGCAUCCAAGCCUCUGCUGAUCUCUGCUUCAAAAGACUAGGGUCAGAGAAGGGGCCCUGAUUCCAGGACCUGCGUGAGGAAGAGGGAGGGGCUGAGGAGAAGUAGAGCGAGGUGGAGACUGUGCCCGGAGAGUGGACAGAGCACUGUGAGGAAGGCCGAGGACCUCUGGACCUCUGGACCUCUGGACCUCUGACCUCUGGACCUCUGGCUUGUGACUUCAAAUAAGCCAGCUGCAUCUGGGCCUCAGGUCUCCUGUAAACUGGGGGAAGAGGUUUGAACCUGAAGGUUCUUCCGCUCUGGGAUCCAGUGAAAUGAGGGGGUGGGGUGUUCCUAAGCAAUGCAGAGAAAGAAGGUAAAGGAAACCCCGGCGACGGCCCUGUUCUGUUUGUGGGACUGAGCAGCUGUCUGUCUCCGCUCCCUCCCCAACACCGGGGGCCUCUGUUACCCAGGCCUAGGCGGAAGCUGCCCCAGCCCCCAGCCUGAUGAGUGCGCCUGGAUCCAAGGAAGUGGUGCCCUCCCUCUGCUGGCCUGCGGAGCACAGGGCCACACCUUUAGAGACCUCCAUGAAUUUCUCUUCCUGCCUCUCUCUCACCUCCUGUCACCAUGGGAUCAGCCUCCAGGGCUGGCAGAGGCGUCUGUUGGCUCUGGACCUGGGCCUCUCUUGGCUGGGCCAGAGUCUAUUUCCCCAGCCCUUGGAUGUGGGCUGGCUUUGACCAGCAGAGCACAGCAGAAGUGAGGUUGUUCUACUGCCAAGCCCAGGCCUCAAAGACCUCGCAACUCCCAUUCUCACUGGCUUGCUGCCCUGACACUGCCACGUGAAGGGCUCAAGCUAGCCUGCUGGAUGCUGGAGACACAAGGUCCAGUGGACAGCCAGCACCAUCCUCUGGAGAAGUGAGUUUGUCUUAAACCAUCAGCCACAUGAGGGAUCCCAGGCAAAACUCUGGUCCAAAUUAUUGACCCCCAGGA